CGAAGGGAAACUUGUUUUGCUGUUUGUCUCACCAGUGCUGAUGAUGGAUGGCUGCUUCAGGGGAAGAGAUCAAGCUGUGUGGAAGAGCCUCAGGCAGCCAGACGCAUUGAGGGAAGGCUUAGAAGGUAUGCCGGAGAUGGCAAGCCACCUCAGAAAUGGAAAACAGACUUCAUCUCUUGCCUCAGCUCUAACUUCACAGCACACUGCAAGCAGCAGGCACUGUGAUCCCUGCUCAGUUCUCAGCACUGCUCCUCCAGCACUGUCAGGCCCGGCUCUGCCUAGCUCCUAACUGACAGAGAGCAGCGACCGAAAAGGCCUCUGUCUCCCAGAAGACUUGAUCUUGAGACAGAGGUGCAACUGCUCAACUCCCAUCAACUCACAACCACAUCUCAAAUUAUUCUACACUAAAAAGGAAGAAAAGCAAAUGAUUAGAAGCAAUAGGACUGUUAGUGCUUGGACCAUCUCCUCACUCCAUGAAAGCUUCCUGCCAGAGUUAAGUAUCUGCUUUUCUCACCAGCAUGUAACUUUACUCUUCAAAAAGAGAAAGCUCACAAACUAGCACUUGAAGAAUAUAAACUGUAAGAGCCCCAGAAGUUCAUUAUUCUUUCUUUACCUCUCUGCUAUUCCAGGACUCUCUCGGUCCAGGCACAGGACCAAUUAUAAGCCUUUAUAGAAGUUACCUGUUUCCCAUACAACUGGGUCUAAUGACCCAGAAGGCCUGGCUAACAUCUCAGGCCCACAAUGGAACAAGGCACCAUGGGAUAGAUUAAAUUAAUAAAUGUUUACCUAGUUUAGGCUGGGGGAUUCCAAAAUGUCCAAAGUGGAGCAGACAAACACUAGCAGUACAUCAUUAGGCAAACACAAUCUUGCUAGACUCCACUUUGCACUAACUGCUGCUUUCUCUAGUUCCGUAUUAAGUAUAACAAUCCACAAUAAAGCAUUGACUGGAGUCUGUUCCUCCUUUCAAGGACACUGAUAACUUAAUCUUAAAAGGAAAGCUACCUUUGUUUUCCUUAGGUUUUGUUGCUUGUUUCUCCUUUUGAUAUUUUGAAGAUUACAGCUUCACAAGAAGAGGGAAAGGCUCAUGACAGAGGAAGCCUGCUAACCUGUCAGGGGGCCAAGCUUCAUUUUUACGCUAGCUAUUCCAGAGACAAAACAAAAACAAACAAAAAACCCCAAACCACCUUUUUGAAGUUCAGUAUUUAUAACUCUAGGCUUCUGACAUUCAUAAAAGCUUUUACAACUAGGAGGUCACUAGACAGUCACCCCAGGAAUUGUGCAACUAACGCAUGUCACUUCAGAGAAGAAAAAAAUAUAUUAGCCCAGUCUUGUGGGAAAACAGGGAAAGAAAUCACCACUGUCUGCCAUCUCCUUUAAUCUACUGCCAACAGAUUAAACCAAUAAUUGUCAACAGUACCACUUUAUGUUUGGUGUUUGCUACAUUUCCCUCCCUUCCAAAAUCUUUCAAGAAAAAUACCUGAAGAAAAGAUGAUGGAACAUACAUCUCAGCAUGCAAGCAUGCUUUAACACAUAAGGCAAA